rnacentral:lncRNA from 1 species
GUGAAGACUCUUGUUUAAUAAACAGUAGCCAGCAGGUAGAGAGUAAUGUACCUCUUUGGUAGGCUGGGAGACAGCAGAGUGUGGAUGGGAUCGGAAUUGGGGAGGAGGGUUGGUUGGAAUGGAGAGCCUGAGGCUGGGGGUGGGAGGAUGUUGGUGGAAUGACAGGGUGGGCAGAAGGAAAAGCCCAAUGUGUGUCCAGGCCACUGAACCACAGCAUUUGGAGCAACUCCCUUGUAUUUCUGGAGUUGAUGAGAGACACUUUAUUGACUUGAAUUGUUAAAGCUAAAGACUAUUAAAUUAUAAAAUAAGAGGCUUCUCAGCUUCUAGAGCCACACAAUUAUGGAAAGUUCUAGUAUUAAAAUCAUAGCACCUUAGCAGGGAAGAAUUACAGAAAUUAUAGAAUGGUAAAAUAUUAGAGCCAGAGAGCCAAAACUCCAUAUUAGACAAUUUUAAAAUCCAAGAAUCUCAGUGUUAAAAAGGAAAAAAAGAACCCAAUAAUUUAUUGAUCCUGUCUAUUUGCACUGGUCAUGAUGUUAGGAGUAAUCUCAUAUGUUAUCCCAUUUAAUUUCUACCACAAGUCUUAUGCCAUUCAGUCCCAUACCUGCUCAAACCUUUGUCAGUAAUACUGCGUUAUCAAACACAAGCUUGCAUAACCUUUAUGACGUGGGAGUCAUCACAUCUGGGCAUAGCUCUGCCGCCUGCCAAAUUGUGCUAGAAAAUUCUCCCUUAUAUAAGUUGCACUCUAUCUCCCUAUCAUGCUCCCACACUGGUCCAGUUCAUGUCCUCUGAGCUACCCCGAGUAAGUCUAAUCUCCUGCUCACGUGACAGCUUUUCAGAUGUCUAAAGACAGCCCUUAUUUCUUUUUUCUCUAGGCUAAGCUGGCUUGUUGAUCAUGUAGCUAGAAAUGGGACAGCAAAUGAAAGAAUAUUUGAGCUUAAGAGGCCCUUAGAGGUCACCUUGUCUGGAUACUUCCUUUUACUGCUAGGCAAUAUGGCUUUAUAGUCAGGAUCCUGGACCUCAAGUUUCUGGGCCUCAGUCUCCUUAUCCCUAAAAUAAAGAUAAUAGUGAUACUGACAUAACAGAGGUGUUGUGAAGAUUGAAUGAGAUGAUGCAAGGGAAGCUCUUAGAAGAGCACUGGGCACACAGUAAACAGCCAAUAAAUAUUAGCUGUAAUCAUUGGAGGCCCAGGGGAGAAGGGACUUGCUCAAGAUCACACAGCAACUCAGAGGCAGAGCUGGGGUUAGACCAAGGACGCCUGCCUCCCAGCCUGGGCCCUUUCCCAUUCCACUCUUCCCUCUGUCUUCCUCAGAAAAAGAAAAUAGUCCCAGAGGGAACCAGGAUACUUUUCUCACUGAAUCAUUUAGGAUGCAAGGAAGAGGUCACCUGCUUUAGAGUGGCUUAAACUUUUUAUUUUUUAAUGAGGCCAGAAGAAGUUGGAAUGAGGAUUGGUCUGCUGAUUCAACAAUGUCUUUGAUGACCCAGGCAUUUCCCAUUCUGAGCCUCGAGGGUGACUACCCCUGUGAUUGCAAGAUGACUGAGUGCCAUCAGGAACCAUGUCCUCCCAAGCAGGGAGAAAGGGCAUGGUAGCAAAAAGGGUAUUCUCCCUUCACAUCAUUCUCUUAUCCAGGAGAGAAGCUUUCCCAGCAGACUAUCCCCAAACAUGUCAUUGACUAAGACGAGGUCACAUGUCUACUCUUGGACCACUUUCUGGCAAAGGGGAAGGCAUUUCCAUUGCUGCCUUGGAUCAUCCCUGUGGCUGAGCACCUUGCUACCAGAAUGAAGAAGAGAGCAUUUGCCAUGGGAAGGCAACCAAUACAACCUGCCAUACUCAUCUUCUGUUUUCUCUCUGGAUUGCCCUCCUACCUCCUCUCCAUCUCCGCCAGGAAGUCUUCCCUGGUUGCCAGGGCCUUGUCCGGCACACCCUCUUCUAAUGUAAUUGAACAUUGUUUAAUUCAAGUUACAUUUCACUUUGCCAAAGAUUUCUCACCUUAUCAUGUCCAGAUCUUAUCUUCUCAACCAGGCUGUGAUAGGUCAUUGCAAGAGUUAUAGCAGCGACUAAUGAAUAAGUACCUACUGUGUGUCAGGCACUGGUCUGAGUGCUUGUUGUAGCCAGCUUCCAAAUGGCUCCCAAUGAUCCAUACCCCCUGGUAUUCAUGCCUUUUUGUAUUCCCCUCCCACAUUAUACCAGGGUUUGUCUACAUGACCAAGAGAAUAUGGCAAAAGUUACGGUAUGUUUCUUCCAAUAUUAGAUCAUAAAAGGCACAUGGAAUCAAAGCUUUUGGUCAACUGCCAACAAGGUACAGAGGCCCAACAGCAAUCAUCGAAUGAACUUGGAAGUGGAUCCUCUCACCCCAGUUGAGCCUUCUGAUGACUGCAGCCCUGGCUGAUGCUUGACUACAACUUCAUCAGAAAUCCUCAUGAAGAUCCAGCACCUUCCAGUUAGCCCAUCUGUGGGUUCUUGACCCUCAGAAAUUCUAUGAGAUAAUAAAUAUUUGUUGUUUUAAGUUGCUAAACUUUGGGAAAAUUUAUUUUUUGGUUUUGGGGGGUUUUUUGAGGCAGGGCCUUGCUCUGUUACCCAGACUGGAAUGCAGUAGUACAAUCACUGCUCACUGCAAUCUUGACUUCCUGGGCUCAAGCAAUCCUCCCACCUAAACCUUACAAGUAGCUGAAACUACAGGUGUGGGUGCUACCACCCUUGGCUAAGUUUCUUUUUAUUAUUAUUAUUAUUUUUUGGAGAGAUGGGGCCUCACUGUGUUGCCCAGGCUGGUCUCAAACUCUGGGGCUCAAGUGAUCCUCCUGCCUCAGUCUCCCAAAUGGCUGGGAUCACAGGUUUGAGCCACUGUGUCAGCCAGAAAAUUUAUUACUCAGUAGUAGAUUACUAUAUUGCUACUUUAUCACAUUAAAUCCUCUCAACGAUUCUGAUAGGUGAAGCUUAUUUAUCCCUUUUACAGAUGAGAAAACCAAUGCUCCGAUGAGUGCAGUGACUUCCCAUGCCUGUGGAGAGUCUAUGCCUUUGAUUGGAUCCCCAGAGGUGGUUUUCACUUGCCCCCCAUUGCCUAUACCAUGUUGCCUUCCUGGAGUUGGUGGCCUUUGAGCUGGGCCUGGAAGAUUGGGUAGGACUUUAUGAAGUGGGGAUGGAGAGACAAGCUGUGCGAUGGGGAUGAAGAAGAUAACCCAGGUCAGAGGGAACAGCAUAAGCAAAGAUCUUGGCUCAACCAAGAGGCGGACUCACCGUGAUGUGAAUGCAGCUUGAGCAUCCAGGACUCUCCCCAGAUCCAGGGAGGGCCUCAGCGAUGUGUUCACGUUGUCAUAUUUUUAUAAAAUUUGCAAAGGUAAGAUACUUUAACCACAAUCAAAAUUACUAUUUUCUUCCCACUCCAACUUCCCUUGUGUUUCAAUUUUCCUUUAUGUGGGAUAAUUGGAGUGGCCAUGGGCACUUCUGGGAUCUGACCAAGGGGAAGCUGAGUGGGGGACUGAUUUGAGUUGGGUUCACUGGGAUAUGUUUAUGUGGUUUUCUGAAACAGAGGAUAUAUUAAUAUUUAUGUGGUUCUCUGUGUAUAGAUAAAUCAUUGCUAGUAAUCUCUGUGUAGAGAAUAGCUUCUAGGAAUUCUACCCACUGCCCAGCUCACUUGGCAUGGUGAUAUUAAGUUGCCAUAUGCAGAGGUCAUAUCGUGAUAUGAAUGUGUGUCAUGGCACCCAGCCCAGGAAGUAUAUGGGCAGUAGACAAGAAACAGGAGAAACCAGGUUUGAAAUGUACAGAGCCAGAAGCUAGUCUGUGGAAAAUUCUUCUAAUCAUCAGGGGGAGAAAAUGUGUCUCAGAGGUUAAGCAGGGCAGUUAAUAAAAGUAUUACGCAUUUUGGGGGGAUUGUGUGAUGUAUCUGUUUUGAUUUCUUUUCUCAUUAUAGGUAAAUAUAGGUACCUUGUACCUAAUUUUAUAUUCAUAAUUUUGUAUAUUUUUCUUAAAGAGGGCUCCUCAAAUUAUAAAACCUUCAGUUCCCACAAGGUCUACACAUCCAACCUUGGCUCCAUCAUUUAUUUUCUGUGUGAUCUUGGGGAAGUCACUUGUGCUUUCUGAGCCAGUUUCCUCUUCUAUAAAAUGUGAAUGACAAUUUGGACAGGUGAGGAUUCAGAAAUCCUCAUGACCUUAUUCCAUUUUUGAAACCAUUAGUAGACGAAGACACUCAAACAAAAAUUAGACCAGAAUAUAAAGAUUGGAAAAGAUGUAAUAUACAAGCAAUAAUGGUGAGCAAUGAAUCCAGUAAAACCUAAAUCUAAGUUAAUGGAAAUGAUGUGGUUGUUGCAAACCUCUAAUGCAGUUUAUGAAGAAAGAAUUUUUGUAAUAGAAGAGACAUUAUGCAAGAACAAAUUUAAUAAUAAGCUGUAUCUAUAAUUCCAGACUUUUUUUCCCUGCAAAACCUGGGAAACAAGAGGGAUGAAGGAAUAUAAACAUCCUAAAAGCCUCAUAUUGUUGAAGGAGACUUUGAAAUUCUUGGCGUUGAUAGAUACAUGCUCAGAUAUUUAUUAAACAUUUACAGAUACCAACCAGCAAAAUAAAA